rnacentral:rRNA from 1 species
CGUGGGAACCUGCCCUACAGUGAGGAAUACCGGCGAGAAAUCGCCGACAAGACCGCAUAGCCUUCGCUGGUGAGAGCCAGGGAAGGAAAGCCUCGCAAGAGGCGCUGGAGGAGGGGCCUGCGUCCGAUUAGCUAGUUGGUGGGGUAAGAGCCUACCAAGGCGUCGAUCGGUAGCUGGUCUGAGAGGACGAUCAGCCACACUGGGAUUGAGAACGGCCCAG